GGAGGACAUAGUUCACUGGCAGAGCAUCUGCUUUGCAUGCAGAAGAUCUCAGGUUCAAUCCCCAACAUCUCCA